CAGAGUAUAGCUUAGACCAGAAAAGCACCUCCCUUACACCGAGGAGACACCCGUGCAAACCGAGUUACCCUGAC
rnacentral:tRNA from 1 species